rnacentral:rRNA from 1 species
UACGGAGGGUGCAAGCGUUGCUCGGAAUUAUUGGGCGUAAAGGGCAGGUAGGUGGUCUUAUUUGUCCGGGGUGAAAUCCUUGAGCUUAACUCAAGAAGUGCCCCGGAGACGGUGAGACUAGAGUUUUGGAGAGGGUCGUGGAAUUCCCGGUGUAGCGGUGAAAUGCGUAGAGAUCGGGAGGAACACCAGAGGCGAAAGCGGCGACCUGGACAAUGACUGACACUCAACUGCGAAAGCGUGGGGAGCAAACAGG